GACAGAGGGUGCAAACGUUGUUCGGAAUUACUGGGCGUAAAGCGCGUGUAGGCGGCCAUCUAAGUCGGGCGUGAAAUCCCACGGCUCAACCGUGGAAGUGCACUCGAAACUGGAUGGCUAGAGUCCUGGAGAGGAAGGUGGAAUGCUUGGUGUAGAGGUGAAAUUCGUAGAUAUCAAGCGGAACACCGGUGGCGAAGGCGGCUUGCUGGAUAGCAACUGACACUCAACUGCGAAAGCGUGGGGAGCAAACAGG
rnacentral:rRNA from 1 species